rnacentral:lncRNA from 1 species
GACGGUUCCGGGCCCCGCGAAGCUUAGUCCCUUCUUUGUCAAGCCAGGACCCGCCCACGGUCUAUUCAUAGGGUCCCAAACCACUUUGGCCACAACACCCCCAGACUGGUCCGAAGCCUCGUGAGUUCGCCCUGGUCGUUGCACUCCAGCCUGUCGCUGUGCAGACCUGGCUUAGAGGACCCCUAAGGCUGAGGGGUCACUUCCAGAACUGAGUCCGGUCCGCAGGUUCUGCUACGCUCCAGCCAGCCCCUAACUGGUCCCCAGAAGCGGCGCUGCUACAGGGACCAGGAGCUGCUGCGAACUGCGCUGGCGGGGGCUCGUCCUUGGGCGCGGGGCUUCAUCAUGGACACGCUCUCGGCCCAGGCCGCGAAACAAGCCCGCGUGACUGGCGGAGGCACAGAGACCAAGGCCGCUUAACCUGGCUGGUUGCACUGGUCCCUGGAGAGAUGCCGUGUGAAGGGAGGACUCAGAUGCACUCCCUGUGGUCUGGGCUCAACCAGCCAAAAGAGCAACAAAGACUCCAGAACCCACUCUACCUCCUCAAUCCCUUGGCCAUCUGUGGAGCCCCAGAGCCUGCGGCUGUGGCAAGGCCUGUUUCUGCGCUGGACCUGCUCACCUGAGCCUGCAGAAGCUGCAUGGGGGAAGAGUGUGGCAAAUAGUGACAGGAAGGGAGAAGACAGAAGCCUCUCAGCCAACUGCUUCAGCCGAGCCCCUAUUCUAAGCACUGGCUCCUUGGAUAGCAGCUGAGAUGUUCCUGAAACCUCUGCAGGCCCCUUAGGACCUUUACACCUUGGAUGAGGGUGCCUGCAACCCAGGUUAGCCAAAAGUACUGAGGGUCUUAAGUUUGAAGUGUCCAAAGUAUAGGGAGGUCUCAAUAAUAAAAGUCUCCAUGAUCAGCAUCA